UGUCACACAAGACUCCUGAUGCAAGCCUCCACUUUGACCACCCCGCUCCUAUACGAUGAGUGGCGUCCCCCUGAAUCACCGACCCAAGAUAUCUGACACCGUCCCUCUUGGCGAUGUCCAUUCAUCAUGUCCCUGCCUACUUUGCUCGCCUCGGCGCUAAACUUGCACUCCAGGUAUUCAGUCUUAGAUCUGCUUAUUUUGAAACCUUUAGA
rnacentral:lncRNA from 1 species